UACGGGGGGGGCAAGCGUUGUUCGGAAUUACUGGGCGUAAAGGGUUUGUAGGUGGCCAACUAAGUCAGACGUGAAAUCCCUCAGCUUAACUGGGGAACUGCGUCUGAUACUGGUUGGCUUGAGUGCAGGAGAGGAACGCGGAAUUCCAGGUGUAGCGGUGAAAUGCGUAGAUAUCUGGAGGAACACCGGUGGCGAAGGCGGCGUUCUGGACUGCAACUGACACUGAGAAGCGAAAGCCAGGGUAGCAAACGGG
rnacentral:rRNA from 1 species